UACGGAGGGGGCUAGCGUUGUUCGGAAUUACUGGGCGUAAAGCGCGCGUAGGCGGACCUGCAAGUCGGGGGUGAAAGCCCGAGGCUCAACCUCGGAACUGCCUUCGAUACUGCGGGUCUCGAGUCCGGGAGAGGUGAGUGGAAUUCCUAGUGUAGAGGUGGAAUUCGUAGAUAUUAGGAAGAACACCAGUGGCGAAGGCGGCUCACUGGUCCGGUACUGACGCUGAGGUGCGAAAGCGUGGGGAGCAAACAGG
rnacentral:rRNA from 1 species